UCCGAGUUGACCCCGGCAGUCUCUCACGAGUCCCCACCAUUACGUGCUGGCAACAUGAGACAAGGGUUGCGCUCGUUGCGGGACUUAACCCAACAUCUCACGACACGAGCUGACGACAGCCAUGCAGCACCUGUGCACGGACUCCGAAGAGGGGCCGAUGUUUCCACCGGCUUUCCCGUGCAUGUCAAGCGCAGGUAAGGUUCUUCGCGUUGCUUCGAAUUAAACCACAUGCACCACCGCUUGUGCGGGCCCCCGUCAAUUCCUUUGAGUUUCAGCCUUGCGGCCGUACUCCCCAGGCGGGGUACUUCCUGCGUUAGCGCCGGCACCCAAGGGGUCGCUCCCCCAGGCACCUAGUACCCAUCGUUUACGGCGUGGACUAC
rnacentral:misc_RNA from 1 species